CCUACGGGUGGCAGCAGUGGGGAAUAUUGCACAAUGGGCGCAAGCCUGAUGCAGCCAUGCCGCGUGUGUGAAGAAGGCCUUCGGGUUGUAAAGCACUUUCAGCGGGGAGGAAGGCGUUAAGGUUAAUAACCUUGGCGAUUGACGUUACCCGCAGAAGAAGCACCGGCUAACUCCGUGCCAGCAGCCGCGGUAAUACGGAGGGUGCAAGCGUUAAUCGGAAUUACUGGGCGUAAAGCGCACGCAGGCGGUCUGUCAAGUCGGAUGUGAAAGCCCCGGGCUCAACCUGGGAACUGCAUUCGAAACUGGCGGGCUAGAGUCUGGUAGAGGGGGGUAGAAUUCCAGGUGUAGCGGUGAAAUGCGUAGAGAUCUGGAGGAAUACCGGUGGCGAAGGCGGCCCCCUGGACAAAGACUGACGCUCAGGUGCGAAAGCGUGGGGAGCAAACAGGAUUAGAUACCCUAGUAGUC
rnacentral:rRNA from 1 species